rnacentral:rRNA from 1 species
CUACGGGGAGGCAGCAGUGAGGAAUAUUGGUCAAUGGGCGCAAGCCUGAACCAGCCAUGCCGCGCGCAGGAUGACGGUCCUAUGGAUUGUAAACUGCUUUUAUACGGGAAGAAACAACUCUACGUGUAGAGUCUUGACGGUACCAUAAGAAUAAGGAUCGGCUAACUCCGUGCCAGCAGCCGCGGUAAUACGGAGGAUGCAAGCGUUAUCCGGAAUCAUUGGGUUUAAAGGGUCCGUAGGCGGCUUAAUAAGUCAGUGGUGAAAUCCGGCAGCUUAACUGUCGAACUGCCAUUGAUACUGUAGAGCUUGAAUUAUUGUGAAGUAAAUAGAAUAUGUCAUGUAGCGGUGAAAUGCAUAGAUAUUACAUGGAAUACCAAUUGCGAAGGCAGCUUACUAACAAUACAUUGACGCUGAUGGACGAAAGCGUGGGGAGCGAACAGGAUUAGAUACCCUGGUAGUCCACGCCGUAAACGAUGGAUACUAGCUGUUCGGUAGCAAUAUCAGUGGCUAAGCGAAGCUGAUAAG